UACAGAGGUCUCAAGCGUUGUUCGGAUUCAUUGGGCGUAAAGGGCGCGUAGGCGGCGGGGUAAGUCGGGUGUGAAAUCUCAGGGCUCAACCCUGAAACUGCACUCGAUACUGCUCUGCUUGAGGACUGGAGAGGAGACUGGAAUUCACGGUGUAGCAGUGAAAUGCGUAGAUAUCGUGAGGAAGACCAGUGGCGAAGGCGGGUCUCUGGACAGUUCCUGACGCUGAGGCGCGAAGGCCAGGGGAGCCAA
rnacentral:rRNA from 1 species